rnacentral:rRNA from 1 species
CGUCAAAACUUUAAGGUAUUAUCUCAAAGAUUUUCUUCUCAAUUGAAAGUGCUUUACAACCCGCAGGCCUUCUUCACACACGCGGUAUUGCUGGAUCAGGGUUNCCCCCAUUGUCCAAUAUUCCCCU